rnacentral:rRNA from 1 species
GUCAAUAACCAAACCAUCCAGAAUGUGCCCAAUCUUGUCAGAUCUUGGAAGCUCAGCAGAUUUUGAGCCUAGAUAGUGCUUGGAUAGGAGAUCGCCAUGCACAACUGGGGGCUACAUGCU